rnacentral:rRNA from 1 species
UUUAUGGAGAGUUUGAUCCUGGCUCAGGAUGAACGCUGGCGGCGUGCUUAAUACAUGCAAGUCGAGCGAACGGACGAGAAGCUUGCUUCUCUGAUGUUAGCGGCGGACGGGUGAGUAACACGUGGAUAACCUACCUAUAAGACUGGGAUAACUUCGGGAAACCGGAGCUAAUACCGGAUAAUAUUUUGAACCGCAUGGUUCAAAAGU